rnacentral:lncRNA from 1 species
CCGAUUUGGACUCCGUGCCCAUAUACACGCAUGCUAGCUUUUUAUUGUUGUACGUGACUCCAAUUAUCUUGUACUCCGAAUUUAUAGGAUUGGUCAAAAUCCGGUGUCAACAGAACUGUUAUCCCAGUGACGGACACUUCCGUCCGAAUUGAACUGGAGCAAAGACUGGGAAACACGAAGCUUUGACUUCCUCGCUGGGUAUUUC